rnacentral:rRNA from 1 species
AGGAUGAACGCUGGCGGCGUGCUUAACACAUGCAAGUCGAACGGUGAAGUGAGGAGCUUGCUCCUUGCGGAUCAGUGGCGAACGGGUGAGUAACACGUGAGUAACCUGCCCUUGACUCUGGGAUAAGCACUGGAAACGGUGUCUAAUACCGGAUACGACCUCCGAAGGCAUCUUCUGGAAGUGGAAAGAAUUUCGGUCAAGGAUGGACUCGCGGCCUAUCAGCUAGUUGGCGAGGUAACGGCCCACCAAGGCGACGACGGGUAGCCGGCCUGAGAGGGUGACCGGCCACACUGGGACUGAGACACGGCCCAGACUCCUACGGGAGGCAGCAGUGGGGAAUAUUGCACAAUGGGCGCAAGCCUGAUGCAGCAACGCCGCGUGAGGGACGACGGCCUUCAGGUUGUAAACCUCUUUUAGUAGGGAAGAAGCGAAAGUGACGGUACCUGCAGAAAAGCACCGGCUAACGUACGUGCCAGCAGCCGCGGU